rnacentral:rRNA from 1 species
UACGUAGGCAGCGAGCGUUGUUCGGAGUUACUGGGCGUAAAGGGUGUGUAGGCGGUUCUUUAAGUUUGGUGUGAAAUCUCCCGGCUCAACCGGGAGGGUGCGCCGAAUACUGAGGGACUAGAGUAUGGGAUGGGAAAGUGGAAUUCCUGGUGUAGCGGUGAAAUGCGUAGAUAUCAGGAGGAACACCUGUGGUGUAGACGGCUUUCUGGACCAUAACUGACGCUGAGACACGAAAGCGUGGGGAGCAAACAGG